GCUGGGCGUGGUGGCUCGUGCCUUUAGUCCCAGCUACUCAGGAGGCUGAGGUGGGAGGAUCGCUUGAGCUCAGGAGUUCUGGGCUGUAGUGCGCUAUGCUGAUCGGGUGUCUGCACUAAGUUCGGCAUCAAUAUGGUGACCUCCUGGGGGCGGGGGACCACCAGGUUGCCUAAGGAGGGGUGAACCAGCCCAGGUCGGAAAUGGAGCAGGUAAAAAGUCCCUUGCUGAUCAGUAGUGGGAUCAUGCCUGUGAAAAGCCACUGCAUUCCAGCCUGGGCAACAUAACGAGACCUUGUCGCU
rnacentral:SRP_RNA from 1 species